AGCGAACGCUGGCGGCAGGCCUAACACAUGCAAGUCGAACGAACCUUUCGGGGUUAGUGGCGGACGGGUGAGUAACCCGUGGGAACGUGCCUUUAGGUUCGGAAUAACUCAGGGAAACUUGUGCUAAUACCGAAUGUGCCCUUCGGGGGAAAGAUUUAUCGCCUUUAGAGCGGCCCGCGUCUGAUUAGCUAGUUGGUUGAGGUAAUGGCUCACCAAGGCGACGAUCAGUAGCUGGUCUGAGAGGAUGGUCAGCCACAUUGGGACUGAGACACGGCCCAAACUCCUACGGGAGGCAGCAGUGGGGAAUCUUGCGCAAUGGGCGAAAGCCUGACGCAGCCAUGCCGCGUGAAUGAUGAAGGUCUUAGGAUUGUAAAAUUCUUUCACCGGGGACGAUAAUGACGGUACCCGGAGAAGAAGCCCCGGCUAACUUCGUG
rnacentral:rRNA from 1 species